UAUCGAGUACGGGUUUGUUAAGUGCAC
rnacentral:sRNA from 1 species